UGAGGAUUGGAUGAGAUAUAAGCUGUCUUGAUAAUAUUUAAUUGAAUUUAAUUUUUUAUUUAAAAAGUUAAAAUAAUUUAAAAAGACGAGAAGACCCUAUAGAGUUUUAUAUUAAAUUAAAUUAAAAUUAUUUAUAUAAUUAUUAAUAUAGAUUUAAUUUUAGUAUUUUGUUGGGGUGACAAAAAAAUAAAUAAAACUUUUUUUAUUAUUUACAUAAAUAAAUGAAUUUUUGAUCCAAUUUUAUUGAUUAAAAGAAAAAAUUACCUUAGGGAUAACAGCGUAAUUUUUUUUUUUAGUUCUUAUAAUAAAAAAAGUUUGCGACCUCGAUGUUGGAUCAGGACAA
rnacentral:rRNA from 1 species